rnacentral:tRNA from 1 species
GAUAGCUCAGUCGGUAGAGCGACGGACUGUUAAUCCGCAGGUCGCAGGUUCGAGCCCUGCUC